rnacentral:tRNA from 1 species
GUAGGGCACAGCUCAGUGGUAGAGCAUGUGCUUAGCAUGCAUGAGGUCCUGGGUUCAAUCCCCAGUACCUACA